CCUACCUCUGUCAAAUUGGCCGGAAGGCCUAACUGGAUCCACGCUUCCCAUUGCAAGAAGACACCUGCCCCAGAGGAAGCUAACUCUAUGCAACCAUGUGACUCUGGUACAUUAUCUCCUUAGUUGGCCUCCUUAAAGCCCAGCAGGUGGCCAUCACCAAAGAUGCUAGUGGGUACACUUUCUGGUAUAAUUCAUCAUGUACCCAUGUGGCUACAUUCACUUUUGAUUACUGUGAUAUUGUAGAGUGCCCAUUCCCUAAGUCACAGAUUCAAGCUAUUUAUAAAGAUA